AUUGAACGCUGGCGGCAGGCCUAACACAUGCAAGUCGAACGAGUGGCGGACGGGUGAGUAAUGUCUGGGAAACUGCCCGAUGGAGGGGGGUAACUACUGGAAACGGUAGCUAAUACCGCAUACCAUCGGAUGUGCCCAGAUGGGCUUAGCUAGUAGGUGGGGUAACGGCUCACCUAGGCGACGAUCCCUAGCGGGUCUGAGAGGAUGACCAGCCAAACUGGAACUGAGGAACGGUCCAGACUCCUACGGGAGGCAGAAGUGGGGAAUAUUGCACAAUGGGCGCAGGCCUGAUGCAGCCAUGACGCGUGUAUGAAGAAGGCCUUCGGGUUGUAAAGUACUUUCAGCGAGGAGGCGUUACUCGCAGAAGAAGCACCGGCUAACGCCGUGCCAGCAGCCGCGGUAAUAC
rnacentral:rRNA from 1 species